AGUGAACGCUGGCGGUAGGCCUAACACAUGCAAGUCGAACGGCAGCACAGUAAGAGCUUGCUCUUACGGGUGGCGAGUGGCGGACGGGUGAGGAAUACAUCGGAAUCUACUUUUUCGUGGGGGAUAACGUAGGGAAACUUACGCUAAUACCGCAUACGACCUACGGGUGAAAGUAGGGGAUCUUCGGACCUUGCGCGAUUGAAUGAGCCAAUGUCGGAUUAGCUAGUUGGCGGGGUAAAGGCCCACCAAGGCGACGAUCCGUAGCUGGUCUGAGAGGAUGAUCAGCCACACUGGAACUGAGACACGGUCCAGACUCCUACGGGAGGCAGCAGUGGGGAAUAUUGGACAAUGGGCGCAAGCCUGAUCCAGCCAUACCGCGUGGGUGAAGAAGGCCUUCGGGUUGUAAAGCCCUUUUGUUGGGAAAGAAAAGCAGCAGGUUAAUACCCCGCUGUUCUGACGGUACCCAAAGAAUAAGCACCGGCUAACUUCGUG
rnacentral:rRNA from 1 species